GACACCAUAACUCAAUGGUAGAGCAUUUCCCUCACAGGAAAAGACUGAGGUUCGAAUCCUUGUGGUGUCA
rnacentral:tRNA from 1 species